AUGCAAUCCACAUCCCGUAAGAUCGAUGAUCAAGGACUCGUUACCCCCUUUUAUAUCGCUGAAGUGUGGGCUGUGAUUAUUGCCUCCCCCUCUGAAAAGGCACCGGGUCCGGAUGGGUUCAUAGGACAGUUCUACAAAUCCUGCUGGCCAAUCAUCCAAGAUGAGAUCAUGGCGGCUUUUCGCAAAUUUCAUCAGCUGGCGGGGCAGAAUUUCUCGGAGAUCAAUAUCGCACUCAUCACACCGCUACCAAAGAAGGGCGGUGCAAAUCAACUAGGGCAUUACAGACCUAUCAGUCUCAUACAUUCAAUGGUGAAGCUCAUCUGCAAGGUUCUCUCAAUCAGGCUGGCGGGUGCUCUCAGAGACACCAUCUCAACGGUGCAAACUGCAUUUCAGAAGGGCAAGUGCAUUCAUGAUAGCUAUCAAUACGUGCAGAGUUGUAUCAAAAUGUUGCAUCAUCAUAAGAAAAGUGCGCUCUUCUUCAAGCUGGACAUUGCGAAAGCUUUUUACUCCAUUUCCUGGGAAUACAUGCUUGACCUCAUGCAACGGAUGAGGUUUCCGUCCAAAUGGAGGGAUUGGAUGGCUCUGCUUCUUCAUCUUGUCUUCUCAAUGGAAUCCCUAGGCCCUUUUUCAGUCACAGCAAGGGAUUGA
rnacentral:rRNA from 1 species